rnacentral:lncRNA from 1 species
GGCUACAGAGGCACGGAAAGCCCUCAGAUGCACCCACGUGUAGGGAGGGAAUCCUAAUCGAAGGAUCUACGGCUCAACCUACAAGGUCAAGGUGGCUCUAAAUGGAUAAGGGUGGACUUUAAAAUAUCCCUAGCAGAAGCGAUCAUACCCUCCGGCGGUACGCAACCCUCUGCACGCCUCCGAAGAGACGGGGCGCUUCCAUGCAAGGUGGUCAUCACCUCCACACAUGCACUACCUCGCAUCCCAAGGGGUUUCCUAUGGUGAAACCUCUCAAACUCUCAACACUCAAUAGUCUACUAGCGUGCACAGUGAUGGUGUGGGUGCAUCCGAAACCCUAAGAAGCUAAAGCAGGAUAUGAAACACACUGGCCACACAAAUAUCCAUGAAACCUAGCUCCGGGCUAUACAGGUCUUCAAUGAUCGGACUCCAAUCGACAUCAAAGUGUCGCUCUCCUCCAGAAUGCUCCCGUACAUCGAUAUAGCCCGUCGCUAGACCCUACUCCUAAUCUCUGGCUCGGUCAGAGAGCAAACACACAGAAGGUCUCACACUUGCAAUAGUGAGAACCGGGAUGAAAGGAAUGACCGAAACCAAGAGAGUUGGAGGUAAGGGGAUAUAUGUGCGGCCCACAUAGACAGGCAACAUGCAAUCAUGCAGAAGGAAGGCAGUCACGCGUCAUACAGUCAAGCAAAGUACAGGAUAU